rnacentral:rRNA from 1 species
UACGUAGGGUGCGAGCGUUGUCCGGAAUUAUUGGGCGUAAAGAGCUCGUAGGCGGCUUGUCGCGUCGGAUGUGAAAGCCCGGGGCUUAACUCCGGGUCUGCAUUCGAUACGGGCAGGCUAGAGUUCGGUAGGGGAGAUCGGAAUUCCUGGUGUAGCGGUGAAGUGCGCAGAUAUCAGGAGGAACACCAGUGGCGAAGGCGGCUCACUGGCCCGAAACUGACGCUGAGGCACGAAAGCGUGGGGAGCAAACAGG